GAGCACCCACAAUGGUAUUACCCAAAGAGGAGUCCUUAUAAAAAGUGUAUUUUGAUUUUUUAAGUAUUAUUAUUUUUUUUUUCAGAUAAAAAAAAAUAUAUCAACCAAUCGCGUAUCGCCACAUGUCGUGGGGAUCCGUAAAUAGUGCAAAAAUUCACUAAAAAAGAGUCAUUAUUUAAAAAUUUUAAUAAGGUCCACUGAUUAUUUAAUUAUUUUUUUCCUGGAAAUUCUCACUUAAAGAUUCCCAUAGCAGAUGCUCUAACAAUCGGGAUUAAAAAAGUUCGGCAAUUACAAUAACUUGAAGAGAUCAUCCAAACAUAUUAUCAAGUUCUCUUUUAUGAGUUUUUGGUCGUCAAAGACAAGUAAGAGAAGUCGUUUGGAAUUUUGUGGUCUUCGAUUUCUUGUCUUGUUUCUGUACUUUUUUCAUCUCCUUUCAAUGAUUGUAACGCCUUCUUUUAUAUCAAGUACAAUUUUCUUUUAUAGCGAGAUUAGUUUUUCACUAUAUGGGCGGACCUGAUUGUGGAUCUAGCAAUUGCUGGGUUUUGUGAUAAGUCAUCUCCAACAAUAGUUCCCUCCGUUCGCAAGUAUCUUCAAAGAUAUAAGUUUGAGGUUCAUUGCUUGAUUUGUGUUGGUCACUUUUGGAUGGUCUCUAGUUCUUCUUCAAGAUCUGAGGGAAAAUAUUCACAUAAAAGAAGAUUGCAGGUUCUUGAGUAUGAGAUGAGUAACGACAUGGCUGAGUUGAGAUCAACAAAGUUUGUUGGUGAGAAUAGAUCUUUACCUGGUGAAGAGGCGGUCUAGCCAUUGGUUUAGACCAUCUCCAAUGUAUUUCUCUAUUUUUACUUCUAAAAUAGAGCAUCUCUAACGUAGAGAUGAGUUUCUCUCCAAUGUAUUUCACUAUUUUUGCUUCUAUAAAAGAAUAUUCUCAAAAGAUUAUAUUUUAAUUUUACAAAAGAUACAUUU